GUGGGUGUAGCUCAGCCCGUAUAGCACCUGGUUGUGGUCCAGGGGGUUGCGGGUUCAAGUCCCGUCACUCACCCCA
rnacentral:tRNA from 1 species